AUUUUUAUUUAUUUUUUUGAUAAAAAAAAAUCUGUUCUUAUCAGCUUAAUAUCUGGGGAGCAUACUGUAUAUUAAAUUUUUGGAACAAGGAGAUGGAAUAGGGGCUUGCUCCGUUCACUCCAUGCAUCAAACUGGUAUUGCAGUACUUCCAGGAACUGUGGGUGCACUUUCU
rnacentral:snRNA from 1 species